AAUGGAUACUAGAAGCAGUAACAGACAUUCAAAUGUUUAUCCACAUAUUUUCUCUUCCUGGCGCUCCUUGUUCUUCCUGAAGAUCCAGUUUCCAGCAGCGCUGCCUCCUGGUCUGGUGUUUAUGUAAGAGGAGAGGCAACUGGUUACUCUGGCUUCCUGCUGGCCCAAGGCAGAGCUGACAGCAGCAGGUAACAUUCACAGGUUCCAGAGAUUAAGAUAUGGAGAUCCUUUCUGGAGCCAUAUCAAGCCUACCAUAGGUGGUGAAUGCAUCAAUUACUAAAAACACAUUUCUUCUGGGAUACAAGCCAUCCAAGGAAAAUCAAAGAUUAGCCCUGAGCUAACUACUGCCAAUCCUCCUCUUUUUGCUGAGGAAGACUGGCCCUGAGCUAACAUCCAUGCCCAUCUUCCUCUACUUUAUACCUGGGACGCCUACCACAGCAUGAUGUGCCAAGCGGUGCCAUGUCUGCACCCAGGAUCUGAACCGGUGAACCCCAGGCCAUCGAGAAGCAGAACGUGCGAACUUAACCACUGCGCCACCGGACUGGCCCCACUGAAGCAUUUCUAAGCACAGGAGUGGUGGGAAAUUUGAAUUACUGGAAG
rnacentral:lncRNA from 1 species